rnacentral:lncRNA from 1 species
GGCUGAAGAUGUUUACUAACGUUCUUUUUUUAGGGUAGCGAGCCUCAAUUAAACCCUAUUAGAGACUAUUGGGCCUAAAUUAAAGACCUAAUUCUGGCCUGAUUGGGCUGAAGCGUCGCUUCAAACCAAUGGCGCUUCGGGCUUAACGCGCGCUUCAAAAUGCUUCACGUGAUUUGAGCAAAAAAAGCGACAACCCUAGCGCUUCAUCGCCUCACGCUUUAAGCUCGUUUUUUAAACCAAGGCUAACAGAAAAUCCAAAGUAUCCUAAUAAUAAAUAGAAAAAUGAAUACCGGUAACAAACAACCUAAAUAUAUUGUUAGGGUAAAUAUUGACAACGGUAAGUAGUUUAAAGCACCGUACGCUAAGAGCGCGAUUUUACUGGGUACAUUAGUUUCAAAUAGUUUAAAGCAUAGUGACAAGGAUACUUUUUGGAGAUUUUGCACAAAUCUUGUAAACCUACUCGCUAUGUACCUCGUUGGUUUUCAUAUCAAUCACCGUUUUGCCCCAUGUGAGGUGAAUACCAUGGUAAGAAUGAUGAUAAUAAAACUCAAGAGAUGACGACAUAUUUAUGUUGAACAAUGACUCGAUGACUAAACGUUAAGACCCAUCAGAUUAACCUCUUCAGAUAAUCAGCAGCUAGCUCUUAAACCUCUGUGAAUAUAGGAAAGGAUAAAGAGAAAAGCCUGGUUCAAGAAGACUUACAAAAGCUUUAAAUGCUGGGCGGUGAGCAGCCAUCUCAUACAUACAACAACCUAAUGAACAAACAAAAAAUAUUACACACAAAAUGAGAAACAACAAACACAUGGCUUGAAUAAUAAUAAUAAAAUUUACAGAAAAUCAGAUACCUAAGGACCAUAUAUCUGAUUUAAAGCCAUAAGGAAUAUCUGCAAGCAGUUCAGGACACAUGUAAUUUGGUGUUCCGACAACCUGGAAUAAAGUAACCAAGUGUAUAUGAGCUAAAUUGCAAAAAGGUUAAAAUCCGUAGCUAUAAAUCAUACUCCUGUCAUAAAACUAAACAGAACAAUUUCCUUUGUGGGAUAUACUACAACAAAUACAACAUUUCCCUUGUUAGCAAUGUUUGCUCAUCGUAACUAUAAGUCUAUCACAAAACAUUAGUAGCGACAAUUUUGAUCCAUGAGUAUUAAAUAGUAUUUUAUCUAUUCUACAAUGAGAAACACUUCCGUUAACCUAUACGACAAGACAGCUCAUGUAUAUAUUGUGGGAACGAGAGUAAUAUAUUGUAAUAUGCAUAUAUGUGUCUGCAACUCUGCAUACAUGUACAUACACAAGUGUCAAACAAUUUAAACUAUAUACCAUGGCUCACCCAUAGUUGUCAAUGGCGAAUAGCGACAAAUAGCUAUAAGGUACUUAUAUGCUACAUAGCGAAUAGCGAUAAAUAGCGGGUGGCUAUUUUAUAAAUAGCGAUACACUAGAAUUUUUUUUUUUUAAAUUUUAUAUGUACAUUAUAUAAAAAUACCCUGGUAUAUAUGCUAUUUUACAUGUAUAUUUAAAAAAAAAAACAAAAAGAUAAAAAUAAAUUGUCGUUGUCUAUCGCUACAUCCCUAAUAGCGAGCCUAGACCUAUACGCCACGUAGCGUGCUAUAGCAAUCGCUUCGCUCGCUAUUGACAACUAUGGGCUCACCAUACAUAAUAUGUGUGUGA